rnacentral:tRNA from 1 species
GGAGGGGUGGCCGAGUGGCUGAAGGCGGCGGUUUGCUAAACCGUUAUAGGGGCUUAAACCCCUAUCGUGGGUUCGAAUCCCAUCCCCUCCGCCA